ACGCUCGACACCUACGGGGGCAGCAGUAGGGAAUCUUCCACAAUGGACGCAAGUCUGAUGGAGCAACGCCGCGUGAGUGAAGAAGGUCUUCGGAUCGUAAAACUCUGUUGUUAGAGAAGAACACGAGUGAGAGUAACUGUUCAUUCGAUGACGGUAUCUAACCAGCAAGUCACGGCUAACUACGCGCCAGCAGUCGCGGUAAUCUGANCGGCUGGCAAGGC
rnacentral:rRNA from 1 species